rnacentral:lncRNA from 1 species
CUUGCAACUAAGACAAUGUGCAACUGAGAAGUCUAGAGUAAUGGUUGCCCAAAGAAGUGCUCUAACUGAGGAGGCAGUAGCAUAGCCUGAACCAACUUCCAGGUACAUCCCCAGCUUACUCCGACCUCUCUGAACUUCCUGGACCAGAUCUGUUUCCUCUGCCUGCAUGCUCUAGCCUACCAUCUUCCUCUCCUUGUCUGCUACUCACUCAACAGAAGGCAACAGGGUGGUCUACUUCUACAACUCCGUCUCCUGAUGAUUUCACAACAGUCUCCCUGGCAGCCUUUCAUCUGGAAGAAGUGGAAAAGGG